rnacentral:rRNA from 1 species
GCUCAGGAUGAACGCUAGCGGCAGGCUUAACACAUGCAAGUCGAGGGGUAACAUUGUGCUUGCACAGAUGACGACCGGCGCACGGGUGCGUAACGCGUAUAGAACCUACCUUUUACUGGAGAAUAGCCUUUAGAAAUGAAGAUUAAUGCUCCAUGGUAUUGAGUUUUGGCAUCAAGACUUAAUUAAAGAUUUAUUGGUAAAAGAUGGCUAUGCGUCCUAUUAGUUAGAUGGUAAGGUAACGGCUUACCAUGACUUUGAUAGGUAGGGGUCCUGAGAGGGAGAUCCCCCACACUGGUACUGAGACACGGACCAGACUCCUACGGGAGGCAGCAGUGAGGAAUAUUGGGCAAUGGAGGCAACUCUGACCCAGCCAUGCCGCGUGAAGGAUGACUGCCCUAUGGGUUGUAAACUUCUUUUAUACAGGAAGAAACACUGGUAUGUAUACCAGCUUGACGGUACUGUAAGAAUAAGGACCGGCUAACUCCGUGCCAGCAGCCGCGGUAAUACGGAGGGUCCGAGCGUUAUCCGGAAUCAUUGGGUUUAAAGGGUCCGCAGGCGGUCGAUUAAGUCAGAGGUGAAAUCCCAUAGCUCAACUAUGGAACUGCCUUUGAUACUGGUUGACUUGAGUCAUAUGGAAGUAGAUAGAAUGUGUAGUGUAGCGGUGAAAUGCAUAGAUAUUACACAGAAUACCGAUUGCGAAGGCAGUCUACUACGUAUGUACUGACGCUGAGGGACGAAAGCGUGGGGAGCGAACAGGAUUAGAUACCCUGGUAGUCCACGCCGUAAACGAUGGAUACUAGUUGUUGGGCAUUAGCUCAGUGACUAAGCGAAAGUGAUAA